GAUGAAGAACGCAGCGAAAUGCGAUAAGUAAUGUGAAUUGCAGAAUUCAGUGAAUCAUCGAAUCUUUGAACGCACAUUGCGCCCCUUGGUAUUCUGAGGGGCAUGCCUGUUCGAGCGUCAUUAUAACCCUCAAGCUCAGCUUGGUGUUGGGGCCUGCUGCACUGGCAGCCCUUAAAAUCAGUGGCGGCGCCAUCUGGCUCUAAGCGUAGUAAUUCUUCUCGCUAUGGAGUCCUGGUGGAUGCUUGCCAUCAACCCCCAAUUUUUCUAUGGUUGACCUCGGAUCAGGUAGGGAUACCCGCUGAACUUAAGCAUAUCAAUAAGCGGAGGA
rnacentral:misc_RNA from 1 species